GUCUGUUUCACUGGCAUCCUCUGUGUCUGGAGGUAGAAGAACAGGACAGGGCUCGGAUUACAAAAGGAACUUCUCAAACAAAGCCGGUUCUCUCCACGUGAGCAUGACAGCCUGCAGCAGCAGUGUCACGAGACAACUGGGCAUCCGUUUCAUUAUUAUUAUAAUUAACAUUAUCGUUAGCUUUCCCAACACUUAGAAGAUGAUGCAAUUGAUUGAAGCGACAGACAGACAGCUGAUGAAAGGACGUGCGUGGCACUGGGAGGGUAAUGGUGAACACCCAGCCUGGGAAUGCCCUCUGUGGUUUUUUGCUGGAUAAGGAGGAAGAUCUGUGUUUGACGGGAAACAUCUUGAAUCUUCUCGGACGCCGGAGACGAAACAAAGUUGGGGUUAGACGAAGCUCAGAUGGAUCUCCUCAAGGAUCUCCACCACCAGAUAAGAGAAGGCAUCGUCACCCACCAUGGUCCUCAGCUGGGACCGGGGUAACAAAUGACAGGCAGGGUCUCUGCCCGUUUUGAGUGGAUUUAAAGGGGUUGUUCCCCGACCAAUGUCCCAUCCUUCCGCCCAGUUUUGUUGAAAUCAGUUCAGUAGUUUGUGUGUAAGCCUGCUGACAAACAAGAGAACAGAAGAGGAUAAAAAUGGUGAUAAGGGACUGGCCUCCUUAACAAGGGCAUGCUGGUUCGAGUCCCGUCUGAGAAGCAGACUUUAACAAUGGUCCAAUAUAUGGUAAGAAUUUCUAGACUAAAUGACACAUCUGUACAACUACUGAAACAGUAUGGGGGUUGGAACUGUUUUGAACAGAUUUGGAAGAUACUGUUAUCCAAAACAACUUUAAACUCAUAUUCACCCAAUUCACACAAAGCACCGGGAGCUGUUCAGUGUUUUCUUCAAAGACACUUCAACUGGCUUUGGAUGAGCAGGGGCUCAUUAGAAUGCUUCUGAUAAUUAGCUGACCACUUUACCUCCUGAGCCACUACUUGCAGAGGUUUGUAUGCAUGUGUUCUCUUAGAGUCUGUCAGGAGAUAUCCAGCCUUGUUUAGUUGUAUUGUGUUAAAAAUAAUAAAACCAAAAUAAAUGAA